rnacentral:lncRNA from 1 species
GUUUGGAUUUAGUUUAGGUUCAAAAGAGCACGCACAGAUCCUGAGUGUUGUCAAGCACCCGUGACUGGGAAACGGAGGCGUCCGAUCCGUAUUGGAGUCAAUUCGCCACUUAAUUGGGACACUGACGCUAGAGAGGAAGCAGUGCUUUGAGUUUGCCAUUCUGGCAAUGUCCAAAUGUGGAAGACUGGAUAACAGUUUCAGGGGUUACUCCAUCAUUAUCAUGGCAGGGAACAUGGCAGGAUGCAGGCAGAUGGUAGCUGAGAGUUCUACAUCUGGAUCCACAAAAAACCCUUUGAAAAGAUUCAGCACGUUGCCAUGGAGAACAUCCCACUGAAGGAAUGUAUAGAAGUAGCAGGGUUAACUGAGUGCCUUCCAUCUUCCCUCCAAGGGAUCUGCAAUGAGAUGGGAGAAGGCAACAGGCUGUGUGGGAACCACUGAAGCUGGGAUGGCAGGGAAAGAACAUCUUAGGCUAACUCUUCAAGCCUUGCUGUCACAUUUGCUUUUGAGUCUAUGGUUCCUUAUUAUUUUGGAAGGGUCUGAGAACCCACAGGGCACCCUGGGUCAUGACUCAUGUGACUGAGGAAGCACACAGAUCUGUGGAUCUCCAAGUCUAGAUGACAGCAAGCUAACAGGACACUGUUUAUGACAUAUAUAGCCCCCCCCCAACCCCUGCAGAUUUCAAAUAGGUUCUGACAAAGCUUUGUGGUAUCUGAAGGGUAGAUAGAGAAAAUAAGUGUAUCAUUUUGGUUUCUGUUUCUGCAUUACAGGUGUCAGCUGCCUACCAGUUGCUUUCAUCUCUAGAAAUCUGUGACUUGCAGUAUGACAAGAACAAAAGGUGACAAUACAAAGGACAAAGGGCAAGGAAUACAGACGGAGAAGCCGCUUAGAGUCUAGGAUGGCAGAGGUUCUCUUGAUCAUUUCAUUUUUGAGCGCUUGUAGAGCUUUGGUGUACCAGAGGUGCUUGAACAGCUUACCACACCACAGAUGAAUGGCCUUUGGAUUUCUCCUAAGAAAAUGUGGCUACCUGAAAUUCAACUCCAUUUUCUGGUCUUCAAUAUUUCUUUUGUGUUCAGUUUGCCAGCUGAGGAGAAGUGGCUAAGCAUAGCCUGUUACUGAUGCUAAAGCCCAAGUUCUGAACCUAACAACUCCAGCAACAUGAUCCUGUUUCAAGAGACAAAAAAGUGACUAA